rnacentral:lncRNA from 1 species
UAGUACAAGCCAACCUUAUUUUGCAUAGGAUUUGCAUUCAUAGAAAUGAGGGACCAAGUGAUUCAUUACCUAAAAUCAGCACACGAUUAGGGGUUGAUUCACUAGUAUAGUUAUCUUCUCCCUAUUCUUAAGAUUUGUUCUCUACAUAGCUCUGCCCAGGCCUAGCCUGACUCACAUUGACCUCACACUCACUCACUGCAAAGAAACUUGCAUUUUGACAUCCUCUGUGUGUUUUAACCAUUGAACAUAUCCCUUAUUUUCUUUUCUCCUUUAAAAUGUUAUCAAACUAUUCCUUGUGAAUGAAAAGAUAAGCAAUGGGAAAAAUAUUAAUGGCAGAGACUUUGCUGUGAGUAAACAAAGAUUUCCCUACCCUCUAUGGAGAAGAGAGCAGGGUGGUGUAUAAAUGCUUAUCGGGCAGAGAAAAACGUUAAGAUGGUAGCCUUGCUCCCAAACUGACCAAGAGUACACUGAAUCAUUGCUCUGUGGUUCAGCACUGAACUACGGGUCCUUGUGAUCUCUUGAACCCUCUCUCUUACUCUAAUGACUCCAUCAUUACACAUCAAAACUUGUCUACUUAAAGACUAUCAGUCUUAGCAUUCCUUGGUGAACAGAACAUUUCUAUUUAAAAUAACAAUAAUAAUUAAGCCAAUACUUGUUCCGUAAAUUCUCUAGAUUUCUACACAUCUAGUGAAGGAGACAUAUGUCAACAUCCAGAAACUCUUUUCUAAGCGUAAGGAAGUGCGACAAAGAAAGGUAGGGUGUCAUCCUGAUGGAACAGAUGCACGCCUGUUGCUGAACAGUUGCUCAGCCUUGUGAAAGCUCUCUGCCCCAGUCAGAUGUUCAGUUUCUCUGGGAGACAGCCAUCCAGUUCCUGAGAAGGCAACAUCAAUCAUUAUCCAUGGGUCAGAAUUUCCAGCAAGGCUAGAGGAAACAUUUUGAUUAAUGCCUCCAUGGUGACCUGAAGGAUGCCGAGGGCUGGAAGCUGUGGUGAAAAUGAGGUAAAGUGUUGUGGCUGGUGAGAUUUGAAUUGGAAAUCACUGAGUUGAGUUACAGGCAGACCCCAAGAGAAGAUGCUCAGCAACGAAAGGAAAAUGGGAUCCCAGUGCCCCUCUUUUCUUUUCACAUAAGACAUUCCAUGCCCUGUCCAGUAGCAAGACUUAGCCCUAGUCUCCAUGGUCCAAACCCCAAGACUUCCCCAGGACCAGCUCCAGAUGAGUUGCAGCUGCAAGCUUCAUAUCUUCUAAGGACUGGAAUCUCUGCCCUA